rnacentral:rRNA from 1 species
GUCUAUGGCCAUGCCACUCUGAACAAGCCCUUCUGAUCUCGGUCGGCCCUGGACAGUACUUGGAUGGGAGACCACCUAGGAAGACCAGGUGCUGUAGGUG